rnacentral:rRNA from 1 species
GACGAACGCUGGCGGCGUGCUUAACACAUGCAAGUCGAACGGAAAGGCCCUGCUUUUGUUGGGUGCUCGAGUUGCGAACGGAUGGGUAACACGUGAGUAACCUGCCCUGGACUUUGGUAUAACUUCAGGAAACUGGGGCUAAUACCGGAUAGGAGCUCCUGCGGCAUUGUGGUGGUUGGAAAGGUUCGGCGGUUGGAUGGACGCGCGGCUUAUCAGCUUGUUGGUGGGGUAGUGGCUUACCAAGGCUUUGACGGGUAGCCGGCCUGAGAGGGUGACCGGCAACAUUGGGACUGAGAUACGGCCCAGACUCCUACGGGAGGCAGCAGUGGGGAAUAUUGCACAAUGGGCGGAAGCCGGAUGCAGCAACGCCGCGUGCGGGAUGAAGGCCUUCGGGUUGUAAAGCGCUUUCGCCUGUGACGAAGCGUGAGUGACGGUAAUGGGUAAAGAAGCACCGGCUAACUACGUG